GAUUCCGGCCGAGGGGCGAGGGGCGGCGGUGGCAGUCGGGCGCGGGCACGAGGAGAGGAAAGCGAGAGAGAGAGAGUGAGAAAGAAGGGGCGGGGGGGGGGGGGUUAGGAAUAACCCUUUGCCGGCGGCCCCGAGAAAAGGCCACCGGCAAAGGCCUUUUUUAUUUAUUUUUUUAUUUUUUCCCGAUGUCCCUCCUUCGAAUUGAACCGGGAAGAAAAAAAAUAACACUUUGCCGGUGGCCCCAAGAAAAGGCCGCAGGCAAAGGCAUUUUAUUUUUAUUUUUUCCCAACUGUCCCCGUUCGAAUUGAACCGAAGAAAAAAAAAAGAAAUUAACCCUUUGCCUGCGGCCCCGAAAAAUAGCUGUCGGCAAAGGUGGCUUUGCCGAAGGCCCACAUAAUAGCCGCCGGCAAAGUUUUUUUCUUCCCUUUUUUGUUUAUUUUGUGAUGUAAAUCAACCAUAUUGUAAACACAUAGAGCGAUAUAUAUUACUGUUUAGAUUGAACCCAAUUUGCACUUAUAAAAUAAAAAAAACAAAUUACUCAUUGCCGGCGGCCGUUUUGGUGAAAAGCUAGUCACAAAACACUAAGGAACACUCAAACCCAAGCCCUAGAGUGAGGAAAACACGUAAUUCGGACCGACGGAGCAGAAUCCUUUGAUGACUUGGGUAGCUUUUUGGUUUUUCAUGUCCCCAUGUGCUAGUACAACACAAACGUAGAGUAAAGUGACUUGAGAACACAAGUUUUGGUGAAAAGCUAGCCCGGAGACGCCACGAGGCCCGCAGGAGGGGGCGAUGCCUGAAAUCACACGACGGAUGGUCCAGAGAACUUGAAAUCUUGGAUGAUGUCAUCAAAUGGGUUCAUAGAGGUGGUGUUAAAAGGAAAACACAAUCCAAAUAUCUGAGGUUGCACUUCCUUCACAAACUAGACUAACCCGCACAGAAGUUCCGGACUUGGGGGGGAAAAGUCGCAAUUCGGACGGACGGAGCAGAAUUCUUUAAGAAAUUGGGUAGAUUUUUGGUUUUUCAUGUUCAAAUGUCCUAAUAGAACAAAAAGGAAGUCUAAACUGACAUGAAAACCCCAAUGUUUUGUGAAUAAAUAAAGUAAAAACUGGAGAGAAAAAAAGUGAACUGAGCCUAGCUCAGCUGGUCUGGUUCCUUAUGGUGGAACCAGCCCACCCAGAUCAAAGU
rnacentral:lncRNA from 1 species